rnacentral:rRNA from 1 species
GCGAGCGUUAAUCGGAAUUACUGGGCGUAAAGCGCAUGCAGGUGGUUUGUUAAGUCAGAUGUGAAAGCCCGGGGCUCAACCUCGGAAUUGCAUUUGAAACUGGCAAACUAGAGUACUGUAGAGGGGGGUAGAAUUUCAGGUGUAGCGGUGAAAUGCGUAGAGAUCUGAAGGAAUACCGGUGGCGAAGGCGGCCCCCUGGACAGAUACUGACACUCAGAUGCGAAAGACGUGGGGAGGGCAAAACAGGAUUAGAUACCCUGGUAG